CACGUGACUGCACUCCCACUUUUCCCCCACCACUUUUUGCAGAUUUUACCCUAAUGUUAAAUCCCAUAAGAAAUUGUGCUGGAAGUCGCCUUAUUAUGCUGUCGUCGUCGUAUCAAAACUUACAUUCAAAUUAUGAGCGGGGCGUUGGCACGUUAAUUCACCACUUACCGACGCGCUACCAAAUUACAGUGUUCUACAAUAACCGACUCGCUACUCAAAAACACUUUUGACAUUCGCCGCUAGGUGGCGCUGAUGCUGAGGCGGAAUGAGGCUGAGGCAGGCUUAGAACUCUCACAUUACAUCUACUGAUGAUGAACAAGAAAAAUUGGCAUUCCAAACACCAAAGAAGCAGAUGAAAAAAGGGUGUAGGAAACUUGUUCCAGCAGGGAACAACAACCGAUAAGUAAGAAAAAAUUACAACUUAAAAGGUUAAUAUCAGUGAUUGAUCUGAGGGAAGAAGAGGAGGAUGACGGUGAAAAUCCGUCGAAGAUAGCAAAGAAGAUGAACGGUUUCGAAAAUGAUGAAGAAUAUGACGAUGAGCAAAACGAAAAGAAACAAAAAGAAUAUAGCUUGGAUGAGCUGAACUCCGUUGCUAGUCAGGCAUACC